UGUGUAGGCGGUUCUUUAAGUUUGUUGUGAAAUCUCCCGGCUCAACCGGGAGGGUGCGGCGAAUACUGAGGGACUCGAGUGCGGGAGAGGAAAGUGGAAUUCCUGGUGUAGCGGUGAAAUGCGUAGAUAUCAGGAGGAACACCGGUGGUGUAGACGGCUUUCUGGACCGUAACUGACGCUGAGACACGAAAGCGUGGGUAGCAAACA
rnacentral:rRNA from 1 species